GGAGAGAUGGCUGAGUUGGUCGAAAGCGCUCGACUCGAAAUCGAGUAGGGUCGAAAGGUCCUCCAGGGUUCGAAUCCCUGUCUCUCCGCCA
rnacentral:tRNA from 1 species